GCAGGGGACACUGUGGACAGCACUGUGUGCUGACACACCUAGUCAGGGACAGCUGACACAGGCAGAGUUCCAUCUCCAGCAGCCAAGACUGAGAGAAGCCGCUCACAUUAACAAGUAUCUGUUCCCAUUUUUCUUUGUUAAAAACAAACUAGUUUCCCCGAAAUCAUGAAUCAAAAGGAAAUAUUUGUUUCUUUUUCUUUUUUUUUUUUUUUCAGAGCUGGGGACCGAACCCAGGGCCUUGCGCUUGCUAGGCAAGCGCUCUACCACUGAGCUAAAUCCCCAACCCGGAAAUAUUUAUUUCUAAAUUGUUUUUAGAUCCAUCAGAUAGUUUGAUUGGCCUCUCCUCCCUUCCCCUCUCCGCCUUCUCUCGUCCCUCCCUCUUUCAUUCCUUUAAAACAAAAACAUCAACAACAGCAUCCACCAUAGAGACCAGGGAAGCCCUUUGCUUCUCUCAGUGUUGUGCCAGCCACUUGCAGCAGCUCCCCAGUGACCGUGCAUUUCCUGUCAGGGAGAGGAACAAAGUAGACAUGGAAUGCCAGUCAGGCUGUGACACCUGCUUAGGAAGCCUGGGCUGCCCCAUCAGCUCAGGCCUCCAAAACGAGAGAACAUACUGAUGAAAUCGGCAGCAGGCGUCACGACAGAUCUAACCUCUGCCAUGUGGGGUUUUUUUGUUUUUAAUUUUGUUUUCUAGCAGUGCUGACUAAGCCGAAGUUUUGUAAGGUACAUAAAAAUCCAGUUUAUAUGUCAACGAGCAAUAAUUUAAGUUCUGAACUUAAGUGUUUUAACUGUAUAAUUUUGUGAGGUAUACAUAUUGUGGGAUUGACUCAAACAAUGAGGUACUUCAGUAUUAAAUUAGAUAUCUUCAUAGCAUUGUCUCCUAAAGGUGUUUUGUAAAGGCAGCCAAUGCCUUGAUUAGACCUGAUUUGUAGACUUAAGACCUUUUAUUUUCUAAACCUUGAGAUUCUGCUCAUGAAUCAUGUAUCUAAUCUAUAUAAUAUGCAGCCGCUGUAGGAACCAAGUCUUGAUUUUAUAUGUUUAUAUUCUUUCUUAAUAAACCUUAGAAAGACUACAUUACUAAGCAGCCCACUUUGAAGGUUGCUUUUCUUGCCCAGCGUUGGGGAUAACCUUUAUCAGUUGGUGUCGUUUGAGACAGCUGCAGUACCCAGAAAUGAGACCUUCUCAAUCCUCCCCAACCCUGACACACACACACUUUCUUACCUGAAUUUCAAAGUGAUAUCUUUUUGAUGUCUAAAAACAAAGCAUUUUAUAAUGUCUCAUUAUCCAAGCUUUCUAGGGACAGAGAAGUUUUUCCUUGAAAUUUGUUUGUUUAUUCCUGGCAGGGUGAAAAACAUAAACUACCCUAUUUAUAUGUAUAUCUCCCUAUAUUUCUACAGGUUGUAGAAAUAUAGACAGAGAUAUGACCCAAAGAAAAUAGUAAACCAUCUAAAAGUGUUGCUCCGUGCUAAGGAACUUUCUGGAAAUUUGCAUUUCGAUACCUUUUUCCACAUUGAGAGAAAUCUCAGUGCAGAGAGGAACAACACUUCCCAGUUGGCCGCCAGUUCACGUGUCUGCUCGAGACUCCACUUUUUCUCCACUGAACCAUUGGGUUGCACAUCUGUGCUGCAGAGUGGCAGACGUGGCCCAGAACUCCAGGCCCCGCCCCGGGGGGUACACUACUGAGCAAAAUGUGAGGUAGGCGAUAACUUUUAGCUUCACACAGCACAAGAGAAAAUGGAAUUUAAAGCAGGUUUGGUUUGGUUUGGUUUGGUUUGGUUUGGUUUGGUUUGGUUUGGUUUGGUUUGGUUUGGUUUGUAUUAAAUCCCAUCUCACUCUAACACCAGCCACACUAUCUUACCUUUCAGCGGUCAUUCACUCUACCACUGUUUUCUAAUGUUGACCCCAAACCAGACAAGGGUUCCGACCCAGCAGUCAGAGUAGCCCAUGAUCAUGACAGGAAGAGGGGAAAUCCUCUCACAGGUCAGAGCAGCCACACUGGGUUCCAUCCAGUCAGGAGGAUCAAGUCAGGAAGGAGUCCUCUGAUCAUGUCCUCAGAAGCUAAUGCCAACCCAGCCUCUUCCAUCAGUAUUGCUCGCUCUGCACUGUACAUGUGCACUUGGCUUUGUUUGACAGAGCAUAGAAUCAGUGUUUUCUUAGAUCACUCAAUGUGAAGAGCAUAAUGUGAAAAGUGCACACACCUCAUCUUGGUUGUAACAUCCAUUUACGUGUUCAUGGAACAUGAUGAGUUUUAAAAGCAAAGUGAGCUGUGUUACUGCAACCGAUUUGUUCAAAGAUGAAAACACCCAACACGCGCGCGCGCGCGCGCGCGCGCACGCGCGCACACACACACACACACGCACACAUGUGUAUCUCUUACAGUGUAAUGAUUGAAAGCAAUGGUUUUUUGCAGUUUAGGACGCCAUUUUGAAUCUGUGUUUAAAACGGAGUUCAUCUGGGUCUGACACAUGAACUGGAGGCGCAGAUCCGCUUGCAGAACCCAAAGACACACAAUCAAUUUUGAAAUGCAACUUAAGCCAUUAACUGUUGGUGUGAAUUUAAAAUUUUCUAGUGUUUGUAUGGUAGUCUUGCUGCCGAAGAGCAAAGCAUUCUCUGCACAAAAGAAAAUACUGUAGUGGCUUCGAUUUUAAUUAGAACUUUCUCCCUGGUGUUUCUUUAUAGACUAAAACAAAAUCUUUUAAGUUUCUUACUACAGGUAAAAGCUAUGUGCAAGAACCUCAAAAUGCUAAAACCUAGCAUAAUGCCUUAGAUCUGUUUUUAAGUCUUGUAUAUUCCUACAUAGCUGUCCAAUGUAUUAUAUUUGUAUAGUGAAUUGUGUACAAUUUUUGAAUAAGUACGUCACCGCCAACCCAUAUGUUAUUGAGCAGUGAUGAGGACCCAUCUCUUCAAACAUUUACCUGUCUCUCUUCCUUUGUCAUUUGUGGGUUUUAUUUGUACAGUUCCUCAUGAAGUUGCAUCUGAGAUAUGUGUAUAUGAAAAGAUUAUACAAGGGUAAAAUUAAGCAAUAUAUUAACUAUGGUUCUUCAGGAGAAAGCUCACAGUGUUUCAGGUUGUGAUUUAUUUUCAAAACAGAGUUGGCUCUGAACAUCACUUUGUUCAUCUACAUCGAUGUUUGUAUUUCUAGUGUGAGCAGUUUAUGCAAAGGUGGAUAUAUUCAGAGAUUUUAAAUACAUUUAUGCAAGUUACUAUUGCUUCGCUGAUGCUCUUUGCUUCUUUGAUGUUAAAUAAUGCUAUUGUAAAUAAAGAAUCCGUUGUUACUGCAUCGUUUAAUAAAUUUCAAUGCCUUCUUCGGGUUUUACAUGGCUUAGAGAUUU
rnacentral:lncRNA from 1 species